GUGCUGGUUUUGGCAGCACAUACAGUAAAACUGGAAUGAUCCAGAGGUUGGCAUGGUCCCUGUGCAAGGAUGACAUGCAAAUCCAGGAAGCUUUCCGGAUUGAA